rnacentral:rRNA from 1 species
GAUGAACGCUGGCGGCGUGCCUAAUACAUGCAAGUCGAGCGAACAGACGAGGAGCUUGCUCCUCUGACGUUAGCGGCGGACGGGUGAGUAACACGUGGAUAACCUACCUAUAAGACUGGGAUAACUUCGGGAAACCGGAGCUAAUACCGGAUAAUAUAUUGAACCGCAUGGUUCAAUAGUGAAUGACGGUUUUGCUGUCUCUUCUAGAUGCAUCCGGGCCGCAUGAGCUAGUUGGUAAGGUAACGGCUUACCAAGGCAACGAUGCGUAGCCGACCUGAGAGGGUGAUCGGCCACACGGGAACUGAGACACGGUCCAGACUCCUACGGGAGGCAGCAGUAGGGAAUCUUCCGCAAUGGGGGAAAGCCUGACGGAGCAACGCCGCGUGAGUGAUGAAGGUCUUCGGAUCGUAAAACUCUGUUAUUAGGGAAGAACAAAUGUGUAAGUAACUAUGCACGUCUUGACGGUACCUAAUCAGAAAGCCACGGCUAACUACGUG